AUAUUACUUCUUUGACUGUCUUAACUGGAGGAAAGUAGCUAAGGAGUUCCAUCUGGAAUAUGACAAAUUAGAAGAACGGCCUCACCUGCCAUCCACCUUCAACUACAACCCUGCUCAGCAAGCCUUCUAAAAAAAAAAAAAAAAAAAAAAAAAGACUUCCCUUUUCUUGGGGUAUGGCUGUCUCAGCACAAUACUCAACAUAACUGCAGAACUGAUGUGGCUCAGGCACCCUGGUUUUAAUUCCUUGAGGAUCUGGCAAUUGGCUUACGCAAAAGGUCACCAUUUGAGGUCCUGCCUUACUAAUUAUGUGCUGCCCAACAACUAAAUUUGUAAUUUGUUUUUCUCUAGUUUGAGCAGGGUCUGAAUUUUUUCAUUUAUUUCCUUUUUUGCCAGCAGACAGACUUGAGUCUGUAAAGACAAGCAAAUACACUGACAGAAGUUUACCAUAGUUUCUAAAAUGUAAAAAAGAAAACCCCCAAAAGACUCAAGAAAAUUAGACCACAAAUUUUGCAUUGUUCAUUGUAGCACUAUUGGUAAUAAAAUAACAAAUGUUUGUGCAUUUUUAUGUGAAGAUCCUUCUCGUAUUUCAUUUGGAAAGAUGAGCAAGAGGUCUGCUUCCUUCAUUUUACUUCCCCUUCUGUUUUUGAAAGGCAGUUUCGCCAAGCUUAAUGCAAGAAUAUCUGACUGUUUAGAAGAAAGAUAUUGCCACAAUCUCUGGAUGGUUUUCCAGGGUUGUGUUAUUACUGAGCUUCAUCUUUCCAGAAUGAGCAAAACACUGUCCAGUCUUUGUUACGAUUUUGUAAUAAAUGUGUACAUUUUUUUUAAAUUUUUGGACAUCACAUGAAUAAAGGUAUGUAUGUACGAAUGUGUAUAUAUUAUAUAUAUGACAUCUAUUUUGGAAAAUGUUUGCCCUGCUGUACCUCAUUUUUAGGAGGUGUGCAUGGAUGCAAUAUAUGAAAAUGGGACAUUCUGGAACUGCUGGUCAGGGGACUUUGUCGCCCUGUGCACUAAAAGGGCCAGAUUUUCAGCAGCCAAGGACAUCCAUACCCAAGUGAAUGUGAUGGGACUUAAAAGAAGUGAACUGAGACAAUUCACUCUGGCUGUUUGAACAGCAGCGUUUCAUAGGAAGAGAAAAAAAGAUCAAUCUUGUAUUUUCUGACCACAUAAAGGCUUCUUCUCUUUGUAAUAAAGUAGAAAAGCUCUCCUCACUGC
rnacentral:lncRNA from 1 species